rnacentral:rRNA from 1 species
UGACCUCAAAUCAGGUAGGACUACCCGCUGAACUUAAGCAUAUCAAUAAGCGGAGGAAAAGAAACUAACAAGGAUUCCCCUAGUAACUGCGAGUGAAGCGGGAAAAGCUCAAAUUUAAAAUCUGGCGGUCUUUUGGCUGUCCGAGUUGUAAUCUAGAGAAGUGUUAUCCGCGCUGGACCGUGUACAAGUCUCCUGGAAUGGAGCAUCAUAGAGGGUGAGAAUCCCGUCUUUGACAUGGACUGCCAGGGCUUUUGUGAUGCGCUCUCAAAGAGUCGAGUUGUUUGGGAAUGCAGCUCAAAAUGGGUGGUAAAUUCCAUCUAAAGCUAAAUAUUGGCGAGAGACCGAUAGCGAACAAGUACCGUGAGGGAAAGAUGAAAAGAACUUUGGAAAGAGAGUUAAACAGUACGUGAAAUUGCUGAAAGGGAAACGCUUGAAGUCAGUCGCGUCGUCCAGGGAUCAACCUUGCUUUUGCUUGGUGCACUUUCUGGUUUGACGGGUCAGCAUCAAUUUUGAUCAUUGGAAAAAGGUCAAGGGAAUGUGGCAUCUUUGGAUGUGUUUAUAGCCCUUGGUCACAUACAAUGGUUGGGAUUGAGGAACUCAGCACGCCGCAAGGCCGGGUGUUAAACCACGUACGUGCUUAGGAU